AUGGGACCUUUUUUUAAGAAAUAUUCCAUGGUCACUUUGAUGAGCAGGAAAACUCACUCGUUAGAACAAUAUGGUCACGGAUUUCUCAAGAACUGGGCAUUCACACAGUGUGUGUGUGUGUGUGCGCGUGUGUGUGUGAACACCAUCAGGCACAGGAAUCUUUUGAUACUGAAUGCCGGUCAGGUAGUAUUGAAUAUUGACCCCCUUCCGAAGGUAUUAUGGCAUCUUGAUGAAGACAGAGUUAUGAAGCACCUUGAACAGAUCAAUGCAAUGAUUCAGCCCAAGGAAUAUGACCCGUCCUGUCAUGGUGCAGAAGUUAUUUUCGUAAUGUUCAAAAUGCACAUCAAAAGAGCCCUACUUCGAAUGCGGAGCGCAUGCCGUACA
rnacentral:rRNA from 1 species